AUUGAACGCUGGCGGCAUGCUUUACACAUGCAAGUCGAACGGUAACAGGCCGCAAGGUGCUGACGAGUGGCGAACGGGUGAGUAAUGCAUCGGAACGUGCCCAGUCGUGGGGGAUAACGCAGCGAAAGCUGCGCUAAUACCGCAUACGAUCUAUGGAUGAAAGCGGGGGACCGUAAGGCCUCGGGCGAUUGGAGCGGCCGAUGUCAGAUUAGGUAGUGGGUGGGGUAAAGGCUCACCAAGCCAACGAUCUGUAGCUGGUCUGAGAGGACGACCAGCCACACUGGGACUGAGACACGGCCCAGACUCCUACGGGAGGCAGCAGUGGGGAAUUUUGGACAAUGGGCGCAAGCCUGAUCCAGCAAUGCCGCGUGCAGGAAGAAGGCCUUCGGGUUGUAAACUGCUUUUGUACGGAACGAAACGGCUCUGGUUAAUACCUGGGGCUAAUGACGGUACCGUAAGAAUAAGCACCGGCUAACUACGUGCCAGCCGCCGCGGUAACAC
rnacentral:rRNA from 1 species